rnacentral:ribozyme from 1 species
CACAGAGUGACGGGGUAUCUGCCCCGGUAAUGUGGCAAAAACGGUCACAAGCCCGU